GAGGGUAUAGCUCACUGGGAGAGCGCGUGCUUAGUGUGUAUGAGGUCCUGGGUUCAAUCCCCAGUCCCUCCA
rnacentral:tRNA from 1 species